rnacentral:misc_RNA from 1 species
GAAGAUAGCCAGCCUGCCUGGCAUAUAAUUCUAUCCCACCUUGUGUGCAAACAAUGGAAAAGAAAGAGAGAAUAUUGGAUGCUUGUAUCCAACCUCUCUAAAAUUUUUUACAAACUCCAUCAAAUUUUGAAAUAAAACUAUUUUUUUAAUAAAAAAUAUUAUA